rnacentral:rRNA from 1 species
CAGUAGCCGCGGGAAUACAGAGGGUGCGAGCGUUAAUCGGAUUUACUGGGCGUAAAGCGUGCGUAGGCGGCUAAUUGAGUCGGAUGUGAAAUCCCCGAGCUUAACUUGGGAAUUGCAUUCGAUACUGGUUAGCUAGAGUGUGGGAGAGGAUGGUAGAAUUCCAGGUGUAGCGGUGAAAUGCGUAGAGAUCUGGAGGAAUACCGAUGGCGAAGGCAGCCAUCUGGCCUAACACUGACGCUGAGGUACGAAAGCAUGGGGAGCAAACAGGAUUAUAUACCCCAGUAGUCCCUGUCUCUUAUAC